rnacentral:rRNA from 1 species
GACGAACGCUGGCGGCGUGCCUAAUACAUGCAAGUCGAACGAGUGGCGGACGGGGGAGUAACACGAGGGAACCUACCCAUCAGAGGGGGAUAACUACUGGAAACGGUAGCUAAUACCGCAUACCAUCAGAUGUGCGCAGAUGGGUUGAGCUAGUUGGUGGGGUAAUGGCUCACCGAGGCGACGAUCCCUAGCCGGGCUGAGAGGGUGACCGGCCACACUGGAACUGAGACACGGUCCAGACUCCUACGGGAGGCAGCAGUGGGGAAUAUUCCACAAUGGGAGCAAGCCUGAUGCAGCCAUGCCGCGUGGGGGAAGAAGGCCUUCGGGUUGUAAAGCACUUUCAGCGGGGAGGCGUUACUCGAAGAAGAAGCACCGGCUAACUCCGUGCCAGCAGCCGCGGUAAUAC